CCUUGCAGCCCCUGCCACUGCCCCUCUCCCCACCUCUGUGUUAGAGCCGCUCACGCAGAGCACGUUUCCAGUGAUGAUGGUCUUGAGUGAUGGCGAGACUGGUGUUUUUCAGAAGCCAAAAGGAGAGGAUCCUGGAGCAGUUUCUGAGGAGAGAGAGGGUCCUUUUCCUGUCCAAAGAUUGAGCUGGGCAGCUGGGAGCCGGCGGCAGGGCGGCUGGGCUUUGAGGCUGCUCCCGUCCCCCUCCCCAGAGGUAACCCAAGCUUUGGCUCCCGUAGGCAGGCAGGGCAGAGGUACUCGCCCUGUCCAGGUGGUCCCCGGGCGCUCAGAAAGCCAGCCCCAGUUGUGUUACAAUGAAGUGCAUUCAGCCAACAGGUAGUAUUUAUACAAUAACAGUCUCUAAGCUUUCUGUAGUUUUUUUUCUUGUCGUUAGCUGAAAGGACUCAAGUCUUCCACUGAGGAUUUUAUGAUGGAGGCUUCAUCCAAGGUUGUUUCCUUUUUGUUCAUUUCUGUUUUGAGCAGUCAAAGCUCCUGUGCCCUUUCCCUCGACCACGCAGUAGGUAUGCAUUGGAAGUGUUGUUUGCAGCCAGCGUUAGGCACUUGUUGAAGCUGUCGUUGCUGUACUAUGGGAUUGCUGCAACCUCAGGGCUGGGAUCCGUGGCCGGCACAGAGCUGGUGUGGGAUCGCCGGUUCCCCGGGCAGCCCCGCUCUGCCCCUUCGCACCAGCUGGUGCAGGGAUCCCUCCCUGGCGUUUGCUUUAAAACUCGAGGACUCACAUGCUCUCACGCUGACCACGCUCUGCAGAAAUCCUGUCCCAGGCAGGCGGGUGGGACCUGUGUCACUGAGGGUGGCUGGGUCUGUGUCCUCGCCCUGGCCAUCGCACUGGCCUCUUGGCGAAGUUACCGAUCUGUUAAGGCGUAGAUACAACUCUUCACGGCAGUCAGCUGAUGUUGAAACUCACUAAUGUUGGAUUUCUCUUUUUUUUUUUGUUUUGUUUUUGGAAUAAUAUAUUAACUUGUUGAACGCUGCUCUUUUGGCAGUGUUACGGGGAGGGGGGGGGGGGUCCCAACCUUUUUCAGUUCGGGUGAGCUACUGAAAACCAUUUUGUACUAGCUAUGUCACCGCUCCUGGCGCUUGGCCGUGCCGGGUCAGGUUUAGCCGUUCUACAGCAGCAGGUUUUAAGGUCUUUUUUUUUUUUUUCUUUUUUUCUUUUUUUUUCCUUUUUUUAAUUAAAUUGUCUGGUAUUACAAACGAGGGUUGUUGCAAAUCCCACUUCCAGUGUAGUUCCUAGGGUAGGCCCAGAAAAAGGGAUAUCGCAGCUUUGUGUUGGGGAGAAGUUGAGCUGACAUGGCCAGUACAAAGGAGAAAUAGGGAGGGAAUAACGUUUUGCACCUUAUUGAAAAGAGGAGAAGAUUUUAAGUGCAUACAGACAUAGUUAAGAGCUUUUAUUGUGACAGGAGAACUUUUUUCCAUAUGCGUGCAUACUCUCUGUAAUUCCAGUGUAAAAUAUUGUACUUGCACUAGCUUUUUUAAAACAAAUAUUAAAAAAAAUGGAAGAAUUCAUAUUCUAUUUUCUAAUGGUGGUGUGUCUAUUUGUAGGAUACACUCGCGUCUGUUUAUUGAAUUUUAUGGUCCCUUUCUUUGAUGGUGCUUGCAGGUUUUCUAGGUAGAAAUUAUUUCAUUAUUAUAAUAAAACAAUGUUUGAUUCAAAAUUUGAACAAAAUUGUUUUAAAGAAAUUGUCUGUAUACCAGUACAAGUUUAUUGUUUCAGUAUACUCGUACUAAUAAAAUAACAGUGCCAAUUGCA
ensembl:lncRNA